rnacentral:lncRNA from 10 species
GUAGGUGACAGUAACACACUGGGAGGUGACAACAAAGAUGGAGAGUGGUUCUCAAUUCCAAAUGCCAGAUUGUUCAGGUACCUUUAGUUUUGAGUUGAGGAAAGAUAGGAACCAUUUCUAUCUGCAUGUUUCCCACUCUAUCUCUGCCUGCCUCCUUUUUCCUUGCCUGCUAUAUACAAUUUUAGCCUUGGGAAGAGGAGAGCAUGGGAAAGGGAAGGCAUGAAAAGAAAGGAAGAAAUAACAAUCAGGAAGUAGUAACAGCUGUGUUGUUAGCUGUGUACAGGGGUCAAGCUAAAUAAACAGAAGUGCUCAUUAGCUUUGGUGCUUAGGAGCUCACUGGUGGCCUUUGUAGUAGAUCACAGGCCUUUUCAAGGAUUUAGCAUCCACACAAACACUGUUCCACACUCAGAUACGUGUGUGUACAUACACACACAUACCUAUGUAUAUUUAGGUCUAUAUAUAUGUACAUAUAUAAAAAAUAUAAUUUUGACUCAAGACUUUGGAAUGCCUAGGCUGGCAAGUCUACUAUACUUUUGUAGUUAGGGACCUAGUCUAGGUUCUCAGCACAUAGAGAUAUCUGCCAAAAGUUAAAGGAGGAGGGUAUACUCCUGUGCUGUGGAUAUGAUUUUAAUCCUAACUCCUGUUGUAUGCUAUAAUCUUAUACAUUUCAUCAGGUUUUCUAAGCUCCAUCUGCUUCCCAGGCCUUUGGCUGCCACUGAGACCGAUCAGUCAUCUGUGGGCACAUGCAAUUUUGUCAUCUGAGGCUGUACUCCUGGGGGUCUCCAAUUCCUCCGGCCACUUCUAGGCUUGGAUGUACAGGACAACUGCAGCACUGGGAUGAGCUUCUUCAGCAGCUAGAACUGCUUUGAGCUGCUUCUCUGAACAGCCUGUCUGGAGAUGUCCCGGGUGGCUGAAUCACUGCACCUGCUGAGUGACCAGCUGUGUGUCUUUGAGGCUCGUGGUCUAAACUACAAAUGUUCUGGAACCACAUCCAAAGAGCCUCUGAAGUGUGGUUCAAUCUGUAUGCUACCUCUCAGGGCCAUUUUAGAAUAGAAUUGGCUGGGGACUGAACAGCACUGCAUCAGAAGGAGAAAUAAACCUGGAUCUAAAGUCAAAGUCUAAGAUUGUCCUGAUCUUCCAGAGGUUCUCUGAUUUGAGAAUAAUUUUAACCUUUCCUGUGACUCUGAUAAAAGCUGUGGAUUCUUUUCUGGGGAAUGGAGCAUGUGCAUAUAUACAUAAAACUUUGCUUGUUGCUUUUUAAGGGACCAUGGACUUCAGGUUAAAAAGCCUUGGCCUAGAAGUAAAAUGGGGCCUGGUCACUCUUAUUUGGACUGGAAUAUUCUCCCAUCAAAUCUUCUUUGAUAUUGGCCUAAGGAGUCUUCAGUCAUUCAUGGGGAGUUCAUGUUUCAUUGUAUUUGCUUUGAUAUUUAUGAUUUCUGGUGUUAUUUUUAGGUAAGAGAAGUUUCUAUAGUGCCAUUCAGUUUCAGAUGCAGUGUCAAAUAAAUUCAUAAUAUAUCAAGUCUGGUGUUGUAAUAAUAAUAAUAAUGCUGACCUUGAUUUAAUGUCAACUUUUUUCCUCUCAAAAUGUAGAACUGGAUCCUGGGCUUCUUGCAGACUGAAGCCUCAAGUUUAUGACUGGGCAAGGAUUUUGAUUGGCUUCUUUGCUCUUUUCUAUGUGUGUUGUUUAUCCUCCCUGAUCUUGCCAGCUGUGAUUUCUAAGCCCUUGAGGGUUGGAACAAAGUCAAGAAGAAGCGGAGGAAGGGGCAAAAAGAGCCCAUUGACAAGUACUGUUGUGAGCUGGCUUCAGUUUGAUGAUACUAUCACUUCUCUACUUUCUUAUGGGACAUAGUAGAUGUCACAGGACUGAAUUGAGGGAAUUUUUUUUGACAAGAGCUGCUGCUAAAGGUUGAGUGAGUUAUUACACACUGUAGCUGAGAAUUAAUGAGCUCUGUGAAAGAAGGAAAUUCAUACCCAUGCCUCUGACUUACUUUGGUCCUGCUAUGGUGUGAAUGUUUGUGUCCGCCCUAAAUUCAUAUGUUGAAACUUGACCCUCAAGGUGAUGGUAUUAGAAGCUGAAGCCUUUGGGAGGUGAUUAGGCUAUGAGGGCUCCACCCUAAUGAAUGGGAUGAGUACUCUUUUAAAAGAGGCAUGAGGGAGCUUUUUGCUCCUUCUAUCAUGUGAGAAGACAACAAGAAGAUGUCAUUUGUGAAGAAUGUGCCCUCACUGGACACUGAAUCUCCUGGUACCUUGAUCUUGGAUUUCCCAGCCUAC